UUAGGAACAGCCCCGGGUUGGCCAGGAAGCUGUGGAAGGCGGUGCUUCUGUAGCUUCGUCAGCAGCCCGACUGCGCAUGUCCAGCACCUGCGCUCACUUGCUUCCAUCCCAAGGUGGUCUGGUGGUUUGCGUGCCGAGCUGCUCUUCCUCGGUGUAAGUGCCUCCUUCGGUAUCCCUUUAUGCCCGUUAAAAAAGUCCGUCAUUGCAACUGUCGUGACAAGAACUGAGGAAGACAAAUCAACCUGAUGUUUGGUGCCAUGAAACAGAUUGCUGACUGCCUCCAGAUAAGAUACCCAUAUUUAAUCAGGAGGAAGAGAAACAAGAUCAGACAAAUCCAAAUGUAUGUUUUUCUACAAAAUACCUUACCAGUACCCCUCAAAACUGUCAAGGUCAUUCAUAGCAAGGAAACUUUGAGGAACUGCCAUAGCCAAGAAGAGCCCAAAGAGACAUGGCCAAAUAUCAUGUGGUAACCUAUUCAGAAUAAUAAAAGGACACAGAUGAAAUGCCUAAAAUGUGGUCAGUUGACCUAGUUACUGCUAGAAGUGGAAGCAACUCUUAUGAAGUAGUAAAUUCAUUUCUCUUCAUCAAGGAAAAAAGCUUUAAGAGGAACUAAUUAACAAUUUCAUUUCACCAAGUUUGUAGCUCAUAUGCUCUUUGAACACAUAUACAAGGAGACCUCCAUGUAAAGAUAUGAAAACACAUAAAGAUAGACGAUGACCAUAUGAGAAUGGGUGAUGAGUGGAGUUAUGCUGUUUGCAAGUCAAGGAACAACUGCUACCAAAAGUUCAAAGAGGCCAGGAAGAAUCUUAUCUCCUAGACACUUUGAAUGGAGCAUAGUCUGCCGACAUCUUGAUUUCACACUUCUAGCCCCUACAACUGUGAGAAUAAAUUUCUGUUGUUUUAAGCAUCUAGCUUGUGGUAUUUUGUAACAGCCACUCUAGAAACUUA